rnacentral:rRNA from 12 species
ACGACUCUCGGCAACGGAUAUCUCGGCUCACGCAUCGAUGAAGAACGUAGCAAAAUGCGAUACUUGGUGUGAAUUGCAGAAUCCCGUGAACCAUCGAGUUUUUGAACGCAAGUUGCGCCCGAAGCCAUUCGGCCGAGGGCACGUCUGCCUGGGCGUCACG